rfam:Drosophila willistoni strain TSC#14030-0811.24 scf2_1100000002494 genomic scaffold, whole genome shotgun sequence.
AUGUACUAACCUCUAGUUUCUCCUAUACUUUUGCCUGCUACCUUGGCAUUCCAUCUAAAAAGGUACAAACAAUGCAUUGUUAAAAAGAGGUGGUUUUAGUACGUAGGCACUGUGGGACUUCAUUGUCCCGAUGAUGCAGCGAAUCGUGCAUACGAGAUUGUCCAGUAGUUGGUUGCUCGUAUCUUUAGAAAAUUUCCUUCCUCGGCGAUC